rnacentral:misc_RNA from 1 species
AGUCAGGAUUUGCAUGUAGAACUAUAAUUCGAGACUCCAUCAUCGCAACCUGGACUAACAAAUCCAUCAUCUCGCUCUGGGUUGCUCCUGGCGAGAAUCCAGCCUUAAAAGAAAUCUUGCAGCGCCUCUCUGCAAGUUUAUCGCCCAAGGAAGCUACACCAUUUCUACCAUAAUCAUCGUCGAUGAAUAUCGCAAUCACUUGCUUCCACUGGUAAUAAUCGACUAUUUCAGCUAUAGCAGCCAUUUGGA